UGCAGUCGAACGAGUCUCUGGGGGGUAACUCCUAGAGGAAAGUGGCGAAAGGGGCAGUAAUGUAUGGGUAACCUACCUUGAGGUCUGGGAUAGCCAUUCUAACGGAUGGGUAAUACUGGACGGCCUAAGUUGUCGGCAUCGAUGACUUAGUAAAGGUUACGCCUCGAGAGGGGCCCAUAUGAUAUUAGCUAGUUGGUGGGGUAAUGGCCCACCAAGGCAAAGAUGUCUAGCGGGUGUGAGAGCACGACCCGCGUCAUUGGCACUGAGACACUGGCCAAACUCCUACGGGAGGCUGCAGUCGAGGAUCUUCGGCAAUGGACGAAAGUCUGACCGAGCAACGCCGCGUGUGCGAUGAAGGCCUUCGGGUUGUAAAGCACUGUCGAGGGGAAACAAGCCGUAAGGUUGAGUGACCCCUGGAGGAAGCACGGGCUAAGUUCGUGCCAGCAGCCGCGGUAAGACGAACCGUGCAAACGUUAUUCGGAAUCACUGGGCUUAAAGGGCGCGUAGGCGGGUGAUCAAGUCAAUGGUGAAAUCCUCCAGCUUAACUGGAGAAGUGCCUUUGAUACUGAUUGUCUAGAGGGAGGUAGGGGCAUGUGGAACUUCAGGUGGAGCGGUGAAAUGCGUAGAUAUCUGAAGGAACGCCAGUGGCGAAAGCGAUGUGCUGGACCUCUUCUGACGCUGAGGCGCGAAAGCUAGGGGAUCAAACGGGAUUAGAUACCCCGGUAGUCCUAGCCCUAAACUAUGGGUACUAGAUUGUGGACUUUCAUGGGUUCACAGUCGAAGCAAAAGUGUUAAGUACCCCGCCUGGGGAGUAUGGUCGCAAGGCUGAAACUCAAAGGAAUUGACGGGGGCUCAC
rnacentral:rRNA from 1 species